GACGAACGCUGGCGGCGUGCUUAACACAUGCAAGUCGAACGGAAAGGCCCUGCUUUUGUGGGGUGCUCGAGUGGCGAACGGGUGAGUAACACGUGAGUAACCUGCCCUUGACUUUGGGAUAACUUCAGGAAACUGGGGCUAUUACGGGAAAGGAGCUCCUGCUGCAUGGGGGGGGUUGGAAGGUUUCGGCGGUUGGGGAUGGACUCGCGGCUUAUCAGCUUGUUGGUGGGGUAGUGGCUUACCAAGGCUUUGACGGGUAGCCGGCCUGAGAGGGUGACCGGCCACAUUGGGACUGAGAUACGGCCCAGACUCCUACGGGAGGCAGCAGUGGGGAAUAUUGCACAAUGGGCGGAAGCCUGAUGCAGCAACGCCGCGUGCGGGAUGACGGCCUUCGGGUUGUAAACCGCUUUCGCCUGUGACGAAGCGUGAGUGACGGUAAUGGGUAAAGAAGCACCGGCUAACUACGUG
rnacentral:rRNA from 1 species